rnacentral:rRNA from 1 species
UCAGCCGUAAACUUUAAAUUACACCCAACUCGCCUGGGAACUACGAGCCAAGCUUAAAACCCAAAGGACUUGACGGUACCCUACAUCCACCUAGAGGAGCCUGUCCUAUAAUCGAUAAUCCACGUUUAACCUCACCAUUUUUAGCUUAUUCAGUCAGUAUACUUCCGUCGUCAGCCUACCACAUGAGCGUUAGUGGGCUCAAUGUUUAUUCAACAAUACGUCAGGUCAAGGUGCAGCUAAUAAAAUGGAAAGAGAUGGGCUACAUUUUCUAAUUUAGAGCAUACGAAAGACUACUGAUGAAAACUAGUCGGAAGGCGGAUUUAGUAGUAAAUAGGAACCAAAAAGUCCUUUUUAAUUUGGCCC